UAGAGGAUUUCUCUCUUACCUCCCUCCAAGAUGAGGAAGCCAGCCCUGGCGAGGAGGAGGAUGAGGAGGUGUGGGAGGAUGGAGACAGCGGCCACCAAAGGCUGGGCAAGGCACAGGUCCAGAACCUGUUGGCGUGCUGGCCUGGAUUUGGGAGGAGCCAAGUAUCCUGGAGCUGUGAGGUUUUUCCUGUAAGAAAUCCAUGAUGGGAAUGUUUUCCCUGGCUGUCCCAAGGGGAAGGAACAGCUUUGGAGUCUGCAGCCACAGGCUGGGGAUGCAUCCCCUGAAAACCCGUUCAGGAUUGUUCAUCUGAGUCUGCCUGUGGCUUCCAGGGACCCCUUCUGGUAUCCAACACCUGCCUUUUGAGCCAGGAAUUCCAGAUCCAGUCAGUCACAUUCUGUCUUAACUGUCCCAGUGGUGGGGUGUGAGGGAGAAGAAAGAGGGGUAGGGGGUGGCAUUUGAGAUAUUCCUGACUGGAAUUGAAGCAGAGAGGUCAUUUCAGAGCUCUGAGGCCACAAGUUCAGUCUUGAAUGGCAUCCCCAGGGAAUGCUGAGGCACCCUGUGCCUGUGGCACUCAGCAACAGAGCCCUGCUGGGGAGCAAAAAGAGAUGGGGGGAAACUCUGGGUUAGUGGGAGGAUGUUUCCGGAAUGGAAUUGCAAUAGGUGCUGAUCAUAACCAUGGAAUCAUGGGCUGGUUUGGCUUGGAAGGAACCACAAAGAUCAUUUACACUCUGUUGUCUGAUUCCACAGCAAAGAACAUCCCAAACUGCCUCCUCACCCUCAUGGACAGUACAAAUGUCUCCCAUAGCUCUUGUUUAGGAAUGGCAAUGGCUGGUGGGAACUCUGGCAUGAGCACCUGGAGACCAGGUAAGAACAGAAAUGGGAUCAUUCCAGCUGCUGCUGGAGGUGGUUUCCCCUUUUCAGGAUGUUCCUCUGAUUGAUGUUUUCACAGGCAUUUUCUUGGGCACAUUUGAGGGUUAAUUCCAAGAAUUUUGAAAUAGUUGAAAAACAGAGGAGAAAAACUGUGAACCUGAUCCAUUAACUCAGAUUUAGCCCCCAAAUUUUGCCUACACGCCCACGACUCAUCACCUCAUUUUUUUCUCAAUGUGUUCAUUCUCUACUCUUGAGAUUUUGUCACGUUUUACUCAAAAAUUUCCCUUACUUCUCUACUACUGAGUACCUCAUCUGUACUCCAAAAUAUUAAUUCUGUCCCCUACAGAUUACAUUGAGUUUUACCCCCAGGAUUCUCCUUCCUGUACAAUAUUGAUUAACUCUUUUUCUACCCCAAAAAUGGGCACUCUCUCCCCUAAACAUCACCUCAGCUUUCCCUUCAAAAAUGCCACCUCACUCCCCUGGACAUCCCCUCAUAUCUUCCUACACAAACAGUUCUUGUGACCCCUCUCAACUACUCCAGGU